rnacentral:rRNA from 1 species
CAGUCGCCGCGGGAAUACAGAGGGUGCGAGCGUUAAUCGGAUUUACUGGGCGUAAAGCGUGCGUAGGCGGCUUCUUAAGUCGGAUGUGAAAUCCCUGAGCUUAACUUAGGAAUUGCAUUCGAUACUGGGAAGCUAGAGUAUGGGAGAGGAUGGUAGAAUUCCAGGUGUAGCGGUGAAAUGCGUAGAGAUCUGGAGGAAUACCGAUGGCGAAGGCAGCCAUCUGGCCUAAUACUGACGCUGAGGUACGAAAGCAUGGGGAGCAAACAGGAUUAGAUACCCCUGUAGUCCUGUCUCUUAUACC